UACGUGGGGGGCAAGCGUUGUUCGGAGUUACUGGGCGUAAAGGGCUCGUAGGUGGCCCACUAAGUCGGGCGUGAAAUCCCUCGGCUUAACCGGGGAACUGCGCUUGUAACUGGCAAGCUUGAGUGUGGCAGAGGGGGGUGGAAUUCCACGUGUAGCAGUGAAAUGCGUAGAUAUCGGGAGGAACACCAGUGGCGAAGGCGGUUCUCUGGGCAUUACCUGACGCUGAGGAGCGAAAGUGUGGGGAGCGAACAGG
rnacentral:rRNA from 1 species